rnacentral:rRNA from 1 species
AACCGAGUCUUAACCGGGCGUUAAGUUGCAGGGUAUAGACCCGAAACCCGGUGAUCUAGCCAUGGGCAGGUUGAAGGUUGGGUAACACUAACUGGAGGACCGAACCGACUAAUGUUGAAAAAUUAGCGGAUGACCUGUGGCUGGGGGUGAAAGGCCAAUCAAACCGGGAGAUAGCUGGUUCUCCCCGAAAGCUAUUUAGGUAGCGCCUCGUGAAUUCAUCUCCGGGGGUAGAGCACUGUUUCGGCUAGGGGGCCAUCCCGGCUUACCAACCCGAUGCAAACUGCGAAUACCGGAGAAUGUUAUCACGGGAGACACACGGCGGGUGCUAACGUCCGUCGUGAAGAGGGAAACAACCCAGACCGCCAGCUAAGGUCCCAAAGUCAUGGUUAAGUGGGAAACGAUGUGGGAAGGCCCAGACAGCCAGGAUGUUGGCUUAGAAGCAGCCAUCAUUUAAAGAAAGCGUAAUAGCUCACUGGUCGAGUCGGCCUGCGCGGAAGAUGUAACGGGGCUAAACCAU